AGGCGGGGCCAGGCGUGGGAACGCGGCGGUGCUCUCGUGGCGCUUUGCGGGGCCGGGGGAGGCGCGGGCGCAUGCGCAUGCGCGGUGGCGGGCCGGGAGGAGGCGCCGAGCGGCACCUGGUCUUCAGCGUUUCUUAAUUCCUCAGGCAGUCCUGCAA